UACGGGGGGGGCAAGCGUUGUCCGGAAUCAUUGGGCGUAAAGCGCGUGUAGGCGGCCAGGUAAGUCCGUUCUGAAAGCCCGGGGCUCAACCCCGGGAGGCGGAUGGAUACUGCUUGGCUCGAGUCCGGAAGAGGCGAGUGGAAUUCCCGGUGUAGCGGUGAAAUGCGCAGAUAUCAGGAGGAACACCGAUGGCGAAGGCAGCUCGCUGGGACGUGACUGACGCUGAGACGCGAAAGCGUGGGGAGCAAACAGG
rnacentral:rRNA from 1 species